AUGCCCUUCCUAGAGCUAGACACGAACUUGCCUGCCAACCAAGUGCCUGCAGGGUUGGAGAAAUGGCUCUGCGCCACAGCCUCCAUCCUGGGCAAACCCAAGGAUGGGAGCAUGGGCCAGGGAGCACAGAACAAGGGCAGCAUGUGAACAUGAUGGGUGUAGCGGGCCUGACCAUGGUGCUGAGUAGGUCCACUGAGCCCUGGGCGCAGCUGUUCAUCUCCUCCACCAGCAUGAUGGACACCACUGAGGAGAACCGCAGCCACAGCACCCACUUCUUCGAGUUCCUCACCGAGGAGCUGGCCCUGGGCCAGGACCAGAUAAUUUUCCACUUUUCCCCCCUGGAGCCCUGGCAGACUGGCAAGAAGGGGAUGGUCAUAACUUUU
rnacentral:lncRNA from 1 species